rnacentral:rRNA from 1 species
CAGGAUGGACCCGCGUCUGAUUAGCUAGUUGGUAAGGUAACGGCUUACCAAGGCGACGAUCAGUAGCCGACCUGAGAGGGUGAUCGGCCACAUUGGAACUGAGACACGGUCCAAACUCCUACGGGAGGCAGCAGUGGGGAAUAUUGCACAAUGGGCGAAAGCCUGAUGCAGCAACGCCGCGUGAGUGAUGAAGGCCUUCGGGUCGUAAAACUCUGUCCUCAAGGAAGAUAAUGACGGUACUUGAGGAGGAAGCCCCGGCUAACUACGUGCCAGCAGCCGCGGUAAUACGUAGGGGGCUAGCGUUAUCCGGAUUUACUGGGCGUAAAGGGUGCGUAGGCGGUCUUUCAAGUCAGGAGUGAAAGGCUACGGCUCAACCGUAGUAAGCUCUUGAAACUGGGAGACUUGAGUGCAGGAGAGGAGAGUGGAAUUCCUAGUGUAGCGGUGAAAUGCGUAGAUAUUAGGAGGAACACCAGUUGCGAAGGCGGCUCUCUGGACUGUAACUGACGCUGAGGCACGAAAGCGUGGGGAGCAAACAGGAUUAGAUACCCUGGUAGUCCACGCUGUAAACGAUGAGUACUAGGUGUCGGGGGUUACCCCCCUCGGUGCCGCAGCUAACGCAUU